AGUGUAGGCGGUUUGCCAAGUCCGUUGUGAAAUCUCCCGGCUCAACUGGGAGGGUGCGGCGGAAACUGGCAGGCUAGAGUACGGAAUGGGAGAGUGGAAUUCCUGGUGUAGCGGUGAAAUGCGUAGAUAUCAGGAGGAACACCGGUGGUGAAGACGGCUCUCUGGACCGUUACUGACGCUGAGACUCGAAAGCGUGGGGAGCAAACAGGAUUAGAUACCCUGGUAGUCCACGCCCUAAACGAUGCAUACUUGGUGUGGGCUCUUCACUGAGUCCGUGCCGGAGCUAACGCGUUAAGUAUGCCGCCUGGGGAGUACGGUCGCAAGGCUGAA
rnacentral:rRNA from 1 species